GUGGAAUUAUCAUGUAGCUGUUGGUCGUUUCCUUUUUAAAUACCAUCUGAAAUUGAUUAUAAGGCUUGUGAAUGUGAUUUAAGAGAAGGUUUGGUGAUCUAUGACAUUUCGCGUCGCUCCGCGCGCGCUGUUUUGUCACAAACGUUAAAUCAAUGCUAUGUUUUAUUUUGAAAACAGGAAAUGUUAUGUAAUUUGUCAGGUGACAGGAACCAGGAAGUGAAUGAAGAAUAUGGCUCAGAACUGCUGUUUGUAUUGGUAGCUUUUCAAUCCAGUUGAGUCUGCCUGCAUCCUAUACCUUUUUGAUAGUAUCGUUGUUUUACACUUUCUCUCAUGUCAAUAAACCUGUGGACAACGGACGAUUGUCUUCAGAGUCGUGAUGUCAGAAAAGAGUUCGUCUAACUGCCGAGGUGUAUCGGAGCGCAUAAACCGAGGGCGGCAUACGCGCGGUUAACGACAACGGACUCUUGGACGCUUUGUGCGACGGCCGCACGGGUUCUGAGCAGGGGUUCUCUCAGAGUGUAUGAGGGAGUUCAAUGACGUAGAAAGGGGAAAUACAAGUUUAGUAAGCAGCGAAUGAAUUUUAAAGUUACGGAUGGUAAUUACAUGAUAUUGAAUAGUAAAGGUUUUAUCCUUGUGCUAAAUGUUUUAAACAACCAAAAAAGAAAAAAGGUUUUCAAUUAGUAACUUAUACCAUAAUACAUAAAGGGCACUGUAUACAUGUGUAAACAUUUGUUUUGUGUUUCUGAUUUAUAAUGAACUCUUUUAUCUACAUACGCAAAAUGCAUUGAUUUGAGUUUAUGUCCAGGAAGGACUUUCAGUACGUUUCUUAUUGUUGUACAUUGAAAGGAUUAUUCCUCGUUGUGUGAAACAUCAGCAGCGCGGCGCUCUAACGCUCUCAGUUAUUCCAUUACACCAACACAACACACAUAUUGCACAGCGAAACGCUGCUUUAUUCUCCUUAAUGUAAUCUGCUUUGGAGGCGUCACAUCAGGCUCUUCUACUUAUGUGUUACGCAUCAUUUCUUUUAACUUUCUGGUCAUGUUUUUCUGCUGUGAAGAUUCUUGUCUUUUCUUUGUAGCCCUGAUGAAUGUGUCUUCUUAGAUGAUUAUUUGUAUUCAUGUUUUUAUCACAAGGUUAACUAUCAUCUCAUAACUAAAUGUGUGUUGCCAUUCAUUUUAUAAUACUCUUAUUAUUAUUACACAAGAAUACUAUUAGUAAUACACACUGAUGACCAAACAUACAACAAACAUUAUGUUCCUAGGUUUGAGUUCAUAUUGAUCUCGAUGCUUUCAUGUUAUGAAUGUUAUUUGUUUUUAUGUCUACUGGUGUGUGGGUGUGUGUUCAAAGGGAAGGGAGAGGCCUCGUUCUUUGAAAGGGUGAGAAAGUGGAAGUUACUUUAAAGUAGUUAAAGACUGUUAACACUCUGGUUAGAUGAGCUCAUCAUCUCUCACUUUCAACAAGAUGGAAAUCUAUGCGUUCUUUUGCAUUCUUACAGGGGAGUACUUUUGGGGAUUUCUCUGUAUUUGUAAACUAUUAAAGCUUUCGUAUGAAUGCUGUAGUUUUUAAAUGACAUGCUUGUCCUUUAUUUUCCUAAAUCACCCAUUAACUGGUCUAUUUAGAAAUGUUAUAUUUAUAAAAUGUGACUCAGCUGCUCGUGCUGGAAUGUUUGGACUGAUGUAACAGAAUGAAUGUCAAGUACUUUUGACCUGAUGAUUCCUACACACUCAUUCACUCGCUCUCUCACUUUCACGAUAAUGAAAAUCUAUGUUUACUUUUGUCUUCUUUCCGGUGAGUUUGUUUGUAUUUUCUGCAUUUACACCAACUGUAGCUUGCGUACAAAAGAUGUAGCUGUUGAAUGAAACAUGUAAUCUUCUAAUUAGGGGUUUAUUUUUGUUUUUCUAUUUUACAGUUCAAUGAUCCAAAGCAAGAAAAUAAGUCUGUGCAUAUUUGUUGCUACGAUUUAAUAAACAGUUGACAUAUUUUUUUCUUAUGUUGUUUUUAUUGACUGUUUUGGUUGAUUUCCUCUGCUUUAGGAUUGCAACAUUAGUUUUAGCUAAAAGAACACGGAUUAAGAGAUUUAAAUUGAAUUUACGGAAAAUGUCCUUCUCUCCUUCUGAUCUAUAGGUAUGAUGCUCCAGAGGUAAAGAAUAUCUUCAUGAAUGAAAUGAAAUGAGAAGAUUAUGAUCUGGCUGUAUUUUAUAUAUUUUUUGAGAUAUAAAGCUUUACUGUCAAGCUUUCUGCAGCAACAGGAGCAGCACAUGAAAAGCUGGUGGCACAAACAGGAAGUCCCUCACAGGCCAGACCAUUUCCUUUCGUAGAAGCACCCGGCCGCCCGUCCACAUCAGAGGCUGAGUCAAUAGAGGAACACGGCCACUAAAUGAGAAACAGCUUGUGUGUUGCAGGAGGAGGAGGAGCAUCAACUGGAGACAAUAAGAGGAAGUGAAGGAGGGACGUGAAGACGGUGAUGACUGACCUGAUGAUUCCUACACACUCGAUCACUCACUCUCUCACUUUCACGAUGAUAAAAAUCUAUGUUUACUUUUGUCUUCUUUCUGGUCUGAGUGUUGUGCAGAUGAAGCCUCUGAACAUAAAUGGUCGUGUUGGUGAAAGUGUGAAAAUCAGCUGCUCAGACUGGAACGUUUGGGCUGAUGUAACAGAGAAUGUCAAGUCCUUUUGUUACAGUCCAUGCACGGAGGACCGACACAUCAUCAUUAAAGCAGCAUAUGAAAAAAUU